rnacentral:tRNA from 1 species
GCCGAGGUGGCGGAACUGGUAGACGCGCCAGGUUUAGGUCCUGGUGGGAUUUCCCGUGGAGGUUCGAGUCCUCUCCUCGGCACCA